AAAUUGAAGAGUUUGAUCAUGGCUCAGAUUGAACGCUGGCGGCAGGCCUAACACAUGCAAGUCGAACGGUAACAGGAAGCAGCUUGCUGCUUCGCUGACGAGUGGCGGACGGGUGAGUAAUGUCUGGGAAACUGCCUGAUGGAGGGGGAUAACUACUGGAAACGGUAGCUAAUACCGCAUAAUGUCGCAAGACCAAAGAGGGGGACCUUCGGGCCUCUUGCCAUCGGAUGUGCCCAGAUGGGAUUAGCUUGUUGGUGGGGUAACGGCUCACCAAGGCGACGAUCCCUAGCUGGUCUGAGAGGAUGACCAGCCACACUGGAACUGAGACACGGUCCAGACUCCUACGGGAGGCAGCAGUGGGGAAUAUUGCACAAUGGGCGCAAGCCUGAUGCAGCCAUGCCGCGUGUAUGAAGAAGGCCUUCGGGUUGUAAAGUACUUUCAGCGGGGAGGAAGGGAGUAAAGUUAAUACCUUUGCUCAUUGACGUUACCCGCAGAAGAAGCACCGGCUAACUCCGUGCCAGCAGCCGCGGUAAUACGGAGGGUGCAAGCGUUAAUCGGAAUUACUGGGCGUAAAGCGCACGCAGGCGGUUUGUUAAGUCAGAUGUGAAAUCCCCGGGCUCAACCUGGGAACUGCAUCUGAUACUGGCAAGCUUGAGUCUCGUAGAGGGGGGUAGAAUUCCAGGUGUAGCGGUGAAAUGCGUAGAGAUCUGGAGGAAUACCGGUGGCGAAGGCGGCCCCCUGGACGAAGACUGACGCUCAGGUGCGAAAGCGUGGGGAGCAAACAGGAUUAGAUACCCUGGUAGUCCACGCCGUAAACGAUGUCGACUUGGAGGUUGUGCCCUUGAGGCGUGGCUUCCGGAGCUAACGCGUUAAGUCGACCGCCUGGGGAGUACGGCCGCAAGGUUAAAACUCAAAUGAAUUGACGGGGGCCCGCACAAGCGGUGGAGCAUGUGGUUUAAUUCGAUGCAACGCGAAGAACCUUACCUGGUCUUGACAUCCACAGAACUUUCCAGAGAUGGAUUGGUGCCUUCGGGAACUGUGAGACAGGUGCUGCAUGGCUGUCGUCAGCUCGUGUUGUGAAAUGUUGGGUUAAGUCCCGCAACGAGCGCAACCCUUAUCCUUUGUUGCCAGCGGUCCGGCCGGGAACUCAAAGGAGACUGCCAGUGAUAAACUGGAGGAAGGUGGGGAUGACGUCAAGUCAUCAUGGCCCUUACGACCAGGGCUACACACGUGCUACAAUGGCGCAUACAAAGAGAAGCGACCUCGCGAGAGCAAGCGGACCUCAUAAAGUGCGUCGUAGUCCGGAUUGGAGUCUGCAACUCGACUCCAUGAAGUCGGAAUCGCUAGUAAUCGUGGAUCAGAAUGCCACGGUGAAUACGUUCCCGGGCCUUGUACACACCGCCCGUCACACCAUGGGAGUGGGUUGCAAAAGAAGUAGGUAGCUUAACCUUCGGGAGGGCGCUUACCACUUUGUGAUUCAUGACUGGGGUGAAGUCGUAACAAGGUAACCGUAGGGGAACCUGCGGUUGGAUCACCUCCUUA
rnacentral:rRNA from 6 species